rnacentral:rRNA from 1 species
UACGUAGGGCGCAAGCGUUGUCCGGAAUCAUUGGGCGUAAAGAGCUCGUAGGCGGCCUGUUGCGUCCGCUGUGAAAUCCCGGGGCUUAACCCCUGGCGUGCAGUGGAUACGGGCAGACUAGAGUGCGGUAGGGGAGACUGGAAUUCCUGGUGUAGCGGUGAAAUGCGCAGAUAUCAGGAGGAACACCGGUGGCGAAGGCGGGUCUCUGGCCGUAACUGACGCUGAGGAGCGAAAGCGUGGGGAGCGAACAGG